rnacentral:misc_RNA from 1 species
UUAACUAUUAUAUAGUACUCAGACAUCACUAAAAUUCAGAGUUUGGUCCUCUGGCAGGCACGCGCAGGCAGAGCCCACGGUGGAAGGCCACGGCCUGCCAAAGCAACAAGAGUAUAUAGACACGGGUGGGGUCUACCGGUUUCCCGGCAUCCUUUUAAUGAUCCUUCCGCAGGUUCACCUACGGAAA